UACGAAGGGGGCUAGCGUUGCUCGGAAUCACUGGGCGUAAAGGGUGCGUAGGCGGGUCUUUAAGUCAGGGGUGAAAUCCUGGAGCUCAACUCCAGGACUGCCUUUGAUACUGAAGAUCUUGAGUUCGGGAGAGGUGAGUGGAACUGCGAGUGUAGAGGUGAAAUUCGUAGAUAUUCGCAAGAACACCAGUGGCGAAGGCGGCUCACUGGCCCGAUACUGACGCCGAUGCACGAAAGCGUGGGGAGCAAACAGG
rnacentral:rRNA from 1 species